rnacentral:rRNA from 1 species
UACGUAGGGUGCGAGCGUUGUCCGGAAUUACUGGGCGUAAAGAGCUCGUAGGCGGUUUGUCGCGUCUGCUGUGAAAACUCGGGGGCUUAACCCCCGGGCCUGCAGUGGGUACGGGCAGACUAGAGUGCGGUAGGGGAGACUGGAAUUCCUGGUGUAGCGGUGAAAUGCGCAGAUAUCAGGAGGAACACCGGUGGCGAAGGCGGGUCUCUGGGCCGUAACUGACGCUGAGGAGCGAAAGCGUGGGGAGCGAACAGG